rnacentral:lncRNA from 1 species
UGAUUGAAGAAAUAAAGUAUUACGAGGAGGAAAAAGAAAAUUCUGAACAUGUCAAAAAAAAUAACAAGGAAAAGUAUUUAGAUAUAUUUGGGGUCAUUCGUUCAAGGUGAUAAAAAAAUAAUAAUAAAAAAAAAAAAAUAUAUUGGUACCUAAAUAGAAUAAAUUGAUAGCACAAAAACACAAAUAAUAGUUCUUAGUUCCCUUUGUUAAUAUAUUUUUCAAAAAAAUAAUUUAUUACAAGAUCACUAUAUAUGUAUGUGUUUGUAUGUAGGUAUGCAUGUGUAUGUGUAUGUGUAUGUAUAUAUGUGGGGUUACACUUAUGCAAAUCUGACUAAACUGCUUUAUUCUUAGUAAACGUGUAGAUAAUGACGUUAAAAUUGAAAAUGAGGGUUUUUUUCGUAUAUCUGAUUAUUCGUUAUUUAAAGACACUGUAAAUGUUAUGUGGAAAAUUUUAAACAAGUAAACUUAAAAAAAUAUGUAUACAUGUAUAUGUGUAGGUCUAUAUAUGUAAAGCUUUAAGGUAACGUCAUAAAUUUUAAAGAGAGGAAAUUUUCGAAAAAUAUAUAUAUAUAUAUAUAUAUAUUUUUUUUUUUUUUUUUUAACAGAAUUUGUUAUACCAUAAUACUUUUUACGCAUGAAAAUAUUCUCCUAGUUAAUAAAACAAAAAAAAAAAACAAAAAUAAAUAAAUAAACAAAUAAAUAAAUAAACUCAGUUGUAUACAUAUAUGUGCAUAAUCUAUAUAUACUNNNNNNNNNNGCAGGUUAUUAUUAACAAAGUGAUUGAAGAAAUAAAGUAUUACGAGGAGGAAAAAGAAAAUUCUGAACAUGUCAAAAAAAAUAACAAGGAAAAGUAUUUAGAUAUAUUUGGGGUCAUUCGUUCAAGUAAACGUGUAGAUAAUGACGUUAAAAUUGAAAAUGAGGGUUUUUUUCGUAUAUCUGAUUAUUCGUUAUUUAAAGACACUGUAAAUGUUAUGUGGAAAAUUUUAAACAAGUAAACUUAAAAAAAUAUGUAUACAUGUAUAUGUGUAGGUCUAUAUAUGUAAAGCUUUAAGGUAACGUCAUAAAUUUUAAAGAGAGGAAAUUUUCGAAAAAUAUAUAUAUAUAUAUAUAUAUAUUUUUUUUUUUUUUUUUUAACAGAAUUUGUUAUACCAUAAUACUUUUUACGCAUGAAAAUAUUCUCCUAGUUAAUAAAACAAAAAAAAAAAACA